GGCGGUAAGAGGUGAAAAAUUGGAACAAGAGGUUUGGCAAUUGUUAAUGCUGUAAAGUUACCCAUGUAUAUAUCCUGUAAAUUAAAGGCUAUUAAAUUUAAAAAAAAAAAAAAAAAAAAAAAAGGAUUAAAAGUAGCAAAUUAGGCCAGCUAUGAGAGGGCGGGGGAGCGUCAUCUUGGAAAAACGAUAGAGUUUGGGGGCCUUGUGCAUCCUUUCUUCUGGUCAAGAUGACUUCUAGGUAUGAUGCCCAUGGAAAGAACAUCUGGACAAAUGUUGUCCUGGGCCCCACCUGGGAAGAACCUCCUGAAGUUCAGGGAAAGAGGGACUUCCCAAGGAUAAAGGGCAAGAGCCAGCCAAAGGCCUGGGCCCUGGGGGACGAUCCACACUCGAGGCCGGGCCUCCAAAGAAACGCUGUUCAGACCAUUCGACAGCCCAGCAGGGGAGACCGAACGGACGCCCUGAACAAAGUCCACCUUAGGUUGAUUCUGACGUAGGGACCUCCAUUCAAAAAUGCGCACCUUCCUUGGAACCCACCCAGCUGCACCAGCAGUGACUAGUCUCAGCCAGAACGAGGCUUGACUGGAGCGAUCCGGUUCCUUUCGGGCCAGCUCCUCAGAAAAGCUCUGCUCUCCUCUCCCUCAGCAGCCCCCACCUGGCCUCUGGGGCAUGCUGCAAACAGACCCAAGCUGCCUGCCAUUACAGAAGUUCUUUCCAAGUAAAGGAAGCAAGAUUGCAAAAAAAGAUCAUUCCAUUCUUAGCAAUGCAGAAUUCACUGAGAUCUCCUCUCUCCCUCGGGCGCCUGAGCCCGCUCAGGCUGUGGCGGGGGCAGGGCUGACAGAACCGCACGUGUACUUCUAGCUCGCCGUGUGGACAACUGCUACCCAUGUGAAAGCCAUUUCCCAGGGCUGGCCCUGAGUGCCCAAACUGUCUCAGGCUUUCCUUGGUCCGAGCUGCAGUUUGCUCAUCUCUAAAAUGGACCUGAGCAUCUCCUCCACCAAGCUGGUGCAAGCAUCAGAUGGAUAAGCCACGAAAAGUCUCUGUGAGGCUCGACACGUUCCGGCCAGAGACCACCCAGUUUACCAAGGGAACGGGAGGGAAGCUAAACAGCAGAGCAGCGGCAGGGAUUCUGCUCUCGCUGACGGAGGUGGGUAAACAAAAGCUUAUGGGAAGGCCCAUUUAUCUCCCUUCUGAGAAGGCACGAGCACAUAACAAAACACUAAUUUCCAGAUCUCGAAGAUUUCAGCGACCACCCCGACUCUCUCAGCAGAUUUCCUAGAGUAAUUUUGAAGAUCCAAAGGCUCCACAUACAUACAUGUCCUCCCAGUGGGGCCGCUCUUCUUUUGGAGACUGGAUAACAACAAUCAGAGCCCUCCUGGGCUUUUUCCAUCUUACAGUCCCCCCGGUGUCUAAGAAGUCCCCGCUCCAAACAGACCUGGCCCAGCCACACACUGCCUACAGGGAGGUAAGUUUAAGGUCAGUAAAUGGGAUCCACUAACCUAGGACAUGCAGUUUCAGAACAUCCACUGCUCCUUCCAAAAUGAGGACGACCUAUCACGUUUGCUUUCUCCUGGUAAUUCCAGCCUUGAGUUUGAAUGUCACUUCAUACACACACCUACACCUACCCACACCCACCCACCCACCCACAUAUAUACAUAUACAUAUAAAACUAGAAAAUAAGAAAAAACAAAAUAGGAAAAGAAAAGAAAACAAAAUAUUGAAACAUGUAGCCAGCAGAACAUCAAGGAAGAUUCAAAAUAUACAAUAAAUUUCCUGUUCCAGAAAGCAUAUAAUGCCUAUUUUACAGGAAACUCGCCCCUGUAGUUGUGUAAGACUUUUAGCUUAAAAAAAAUUUUUUUAAAGCUCCAUCUUUUUAAAAAGCAUAUAUUAGAAGAGAUUAUAUUUGUGUCCAUCGUUCUUUGUAGGUUACUCUUUUGUUCUGUCUUCACUUUUUACUUUAUUCUUUUCCUUUACCUUUAAUUUUCUUCCCCCCAACUGCCCCAAGCAGCAUACCAUUAAGCACUCUCUUCUUCCUCUUUCUUUUUGUAUGUAUGUAUAUAGACAUAUAAAUACACACACACACAUAUAUUGAGAUAUGUAAACAUGCACCUAAAACAAUAUAAUUUUGCUGACACAUAACGGAGAAUUUUUUUUUUGUGAUUGAAUCUUUAAGUCUGACUUUGUCUGAGAAUGAUGAUUACAAGCCUAUUUUUCUCUAAUAAAUAGAUUCCUGAUCCUUGCAGUGUUUGUGUAUAUCACCUAUUUCCUAUCCCCGCUAAUUCUUCUGCUUUGAUUCAACUCCUUAAUUGUCUUGCUUGUGUGCCGCAAUGUUUCUGUGGAUGGUGACGAAGGGCAAGACCAUCACAAUUUCAGGUCGCCGUUUCUCCACCGGUCCUGCCAACAUGGAAAAUCAACUACUGUCAGUUGUUUGUUGACUGGCAGGCCAUGAGGAAGCAGCCCGAGCUUCCAGACCAUCAUUUCUCCGAUGAUUAGGAGCUUUGGGUCCAGAUUUCAGCAGGACGUCAUGUUCCUUCCCUGGGACAGCUGGGUGACCCUGGGGCGGUCACUCCCCACUGCUGGCCUGUUUCCUCAUCUGUCAAAGGUACUGGCACAAGAGUCGGAUGUGAUGGAGGAUGACCGAACAGCCAUUCUUCUUCUAGUCCCCCAUGGAGGGCCACUGGCUUUGUACUAAAGAAGACCUGGGUUCAAAUUCUAACUUCUCUUCACUAUACGUGUGACCUUGGCAGACUCACACUCUUGGAGAGCCUCUGUUUCUUCAUCUGUAAAAGGGAGUGGGCUGGCCUGGAUAUGGGCCACCGGCUUGCCUGGUUCUAACUCUCCACUUCUAGGACUGGCUUGUUUGUUGCCUCCAUUUAUAUAUGGAGAAAGAAGAUGCUGGAGGUUAGCUCCUUGUCAGAGAACUAUUGAUCCUGCAGACCUCUCCCUGCCUCCUCCCUCUGACCACUAGGGCUGGCUGCCCGGAGGCCUUGCCGGCGAGUCCCAGAAGCAGCCCCGGAAGGCCACCUGAUGCAGAAUGUUCCUUCAGGCCCCUCUCUGAACAGUUAGCCGGGUCCUUCUGUUUGUGGCCGGCUCCCGUCAGCCAAGGUGGGACUAGCUACAGGUCCCUGGAUUGCUUCCUCUCCUCUUCUAUCAAGAAGGAAGUCUGGAAAACACUGAAGAUAAAUAGAAGGGAGGCAGGGGAGCUCCUCAUCAGCCCCGACCUAGAGGGGCUCCUCACCUGGCCUGCACUCGGCUCCCCAGGCCGCCGGACUAGAUACUGCUGAGGCAGCCGCUUACUGGGGGUGGAGGACAGCACAGACUCACACGCGUUUUAUCCUAAUACCCAAAGCGCAGUGAGUGACUCAAGGAAGGUUUGCGAACGCCCCUCAGCAGCCGGGGAUUUCCAGUCUCAGGUGAGAGUCACUUUUAGCCUACAUUUAUUACUGCUGUCCCCCCCCAAUACUACUUCCCCACCCCCCUGGUCUGACCAAGAGCGGACCCAUCCAUGAUGACGGUAGCAAUUCGGUUGGGACGCUGCCGGGGGCAGCAGCAAUUCCCCUUGCCCACCCCCACCCAGUGUCUGUUUGAGAUCGUACUUGAGUGAGUGAAAAAGCAUUUAUGAAGCGCUCCCCCGGGGAGAGGGCCCCGUCUCAGCUUCUCGGACUAGGGCUCGGGACCCCGUAAGUGAAAGGGAGGGGCCUGGAAUAGGAUUUCUUAUCGGCAAAUGUUUGAUUUGCAGACCUACUUCCCCAUCCGCUGUAGCAGGGCCCUGUAAACAUUUCUCAGGCUACAAGGGGCUGUGAGUGGAAAAAGCUCGAGAUUCCUGGAGGCUUGAGAUGGGGAGAGGACUCUGGGAGCCGAAACGGGGGCCUCUUUCGCCCUGCUGUUGCUGCCAGCUCGCUUUUUUCCUUCCUUUUUCCCCUUUUGAUCUGAUUUUUCUAGGGCAGCCUGAUAAAUGUGCAAAUCCGUCAAGAAGACUGGCACGCGAUUAACCUACCUGGGCUCACCUGUUGUCUAGGGGAGGGGGGAGGGAGGGACAAAAGACUGGGGGCCACGGUGUGGCAAGGGGGGUGCAGAAAACUGCCUCUGCCCUUACUCUGAAAACUAAAAAGCUAGGACUCUUUUUUAAAAAAAGUUUGAAAAGCAGCCCUGGGCUGUGCCAGCUGGGCCCCUGCCCAGUUAGAGGCAGCUUCGGCUGGAGGCCGGGCCCAGGUUCAUCAAAGGCCCUCACGGAGGACCCGGAGGGCAGAGGGCAAGGCGGGACAGGCCGUGGGACCCGGGGGUCCUCCAGCUCACCCAAGAACAGAGGCGCUGACUGCAAUCAAGGUGAUGCAGGAAAGAUUCCAAUCUUUGAUUCCCAACCUCCCUAGCUAAUGUAAAUUACCCUUUGACUCACAAAUCCUGGUCCCUUUAAAUUCCAAUAGAAGAUCCGGACCUGUCCCAGCCCCACCCGGAUCUGAGCCAACUUUGGGGCUACACCCCAAAGCCCCUCGAGCUAAAUCUCCGACUUAAAAGGGCCACACUGGGAACCCCUCUUGGCAGAGAUUCCAAACAUGGCAGCCAUGUGAGGACCCUCUGUCCGGUGCCCUCCUUGUCUCUACCUUCACCAUCUCCUACUUCUAAACUCAGUAAUAAAUCUCUUUUAUCAAUCUAGCUCUCCGGGCCAAUAAAUGCUUUUAUUGGGAAUUCCGCGCCGCUACUAGACCUCAUAGACCGCUGUAUCCUUGUGCCGAAUCCAAGGGGGUUGCAGGGGAACUCUGUUUGACUCCCUGUACCCCAAACCUGCCACUAGACCUUCCAAGUCUUUAUUUACUGAAAGUGAAGCAAAGCAGUCAGAGAAGACUGAGAGAGCUGGAGAAGGAAGCGAGCGCAGGAAGUAAAUGCCCUUCCGGGCUCCUUUGCGCAGGGUCAGCAACAAGGGGCAGAGCGUGCUCGGAGCCGAGCCCUCCCCACAUCCCGCUUCCUCGGGUCUCAAGAGCCCGGGCUGGGGGAGCCAGCUGGGUGACUGGCUUGGGACCCCCCCAUCCCCCAGCAGCCUCUGGGCCUGGGGCUUCCUCACAGGCCGCUGCCUUUCUUCCCACUGAUAAGUCGGGGCCAGGAAUAAAGAGGUGUCUCGGGACAGAAGCAGGGGGCUCAGCACCUCCAGCAGGGGCUGUGCCCUGGGGGCCCCCAGGUGCCUUUCAGGGGCCAGGGGUCAAAGCCGCUCUCACCAUAACAGUAAGAGGUCUUACUAGAAGCCACAUAGGCCAAAGCGCUCCUGGGGGCCCCACAAUUGUUAGGAGAUGAGGUUGCUCCUCCGGGAGGCCCAGCCCCCACUUCCCGGCCAGGGAGCCAGCCGAGCUGAAUAGAAGGAAGCGGCAGGGGCGGCUCUUUGGGCUCCCAGGCCCCUCCCCGGCACAGGCCCCGGCUUUUAGUAGAAGCCCCUCCCGGGCGCUGUGCACAGGGUGCAGGGGCCAGGAGGCCCUCCCAGCUGCCCACGGCCCGGCCAUGGUCCCCGCAGGGUGAGCAGGAAGGGGGCAAACAGCCAGCUGCCUCCAAGAACCUCAAGGGCCUCUCAAAAGGCCAGUGGGUGGCGGGACCAAAGGAGGGGCUGGGCUGGGAGGAGCCCCGCACCUGGGACCCCCUCGGCCCUGCUACCGGCUGCUCACUCUCCAGAGACCAAGCAGGUUGGCCGCCUCCAGCUCACCCGAGACAGCCUGGGGCACAUGGGGCCCCUUCUGGCCUUCUUCACCUCCCGCGGUUUGAAGCGAGCUUCCAGCCAGUUCCCGAACUUUCAUGUUUUAAGGGACCGAUGAGGAGAGAUCCGCUCAGAGGGUCUGGACACUGACCACUGCACUGCGUUGCCUCCCUGGCAUUAGGACCCCCACUCUGGGCCCCUCCUGUCCCUUGUUUCUGUAUUUCAGAACUUCCCUCCUUCCAGACAGCUCUCGGGACCCUGGGUCAUCCCUGGCGGCAGGAGGUGCUAUCGGGACCGAUGGAAAGACAGAGGCUCUGGGGGCUCUGCUGCAGGAGGCCUCUGCACUGGUUGUGUCCAGGGCACCCCGGGUGGGCCGGUCUCCAGGAGGGAAGCGCCAACGAGGGAAAGCACAGGCAGGCUCGGCCCCAGACACCCUGGGUCCACAUCUCUGGGGAGACCGAGGCAGGCCCUGAGCCGCCAGGCAGGUCCCUGAAGCUUGGCGUGGCCAACGUGCUGGGGCCGAAGGUGGCCGGGACACAGAGGCCGGGGCAGCUGGCACCUGGGAAACACGGUUUAAUAUCUUCUCAAUUGGUCACACUGGCGCUGGGCACAGGCCAAUCACAAGGGCCCCGCGGGGCCACGCCUGGAGCCUUGGCGCACAGAACCGGGCAGCAGAGGUCCCAGGGACCUUCAGCCCAGGUGUGGGCAUGGACAAGCAGCGGCUCCAGCUCCCAGGAUGAGGGCCCGAGAUCCGCCCUGUGGCAGAGCCAGCAGGGCAGCUCCCUGGCAGCGCCUCCAGAACAGCCCCCAGCUUACAAGUUCACAGCGAUGCCGUGGGGCAAGAGAUCCUGAGGAGCGCGGGCCAAGGGUCCGUGUCAGGGCUGGGGCCACACAGCCCAGGCAGUCUCGGGGGGGAUCCACUGCACCCCCGAGCUAAGGGAAGGCACACCCUCUGCCGGCACCUCCGGGGGAAGAAGAGCAAACGGGGCGAGGGGAAGGCAUUUGGGAGGACCGGGCCCAAGUCUGCUUGAGGAGCUGGGCAAAGGCCCGGGGGAAAGCAGAUCACCAGCCUCGCCGUCCCCAAGCAAGGCCCGGGUCAGAGAGCGCUGAGGCGGGCACAGAAAGGUCUGGCACCAGGAGAACAGCGGGGCGGGCACAGAAAGGCCCGGCACUGAGAGCAUCAGGGUGGCCAUGGAAGGGCCUGGCGCUGAGAGCUUUGGGGUGGCCAUGGAAAGGUCCAGUGCCAGGAGAACACUGGGGUGGGUACAGAAAGGUCCGGCGCUGAGAGCUUUGGGGCAGCCACGGAAGGGCUGCCGACCUGAGCCAAGCUCGUAAGGAGCAGCAAGAGCAGAAAGCCUCACGAGCCUUGGGAGGUGCCCCGGCCCGAUGACUGGCUGCCACGGUGGACAAGAUGGCACCUGCUGCCCGCCUCCGGGCCAAGCAGCCACAGCAGAGGCCACCCGAAGCUCUGUUUUUCCCUCUCGCUUUUUCUCCUUCCUAUUUUCCCAGGACAUGGCUAAUAACGUAGGAAUUUGUUUUCUGUGACUUGGCUUUGUGAUGGGUUUUGUUUAGCAAAUAAACCAAAGUAUUUGCUUUUGGUGAGAAGUCUGGGGGGAGGAAGGGCUGCCGUUCCUACCGCCAGCACCUGGCCCAGCACCAGCACGGCUGGCACCGAGUCAAAGCUGUCUGGUGAAUCCAUACCCAUGGUCUUUGCCCAAAAACUCCAUCGCGAGGGUCACAAACUCUGCUUCACGUUGGGUCAGCACACGCCCAGAGCGUCAGAUCUUGGCGGAGGCCCCUGCGCCAGGGUGGGCACCCCGAGAGCUAUGGGUUUUCAGCCGGGCCCGAACGGGGCUGCGCCUUCCAGUGAGCUUUGGGCCGCCCGGGGGGCAGAGCCUUGGGCCUCCCACGAACCCUCACCUGCACAGCCGAGGGACCCGGCCUUUCCAGCGGUCUUGGAAGGAAGCGGGUUUUGCUCCUAGGUGGCUGGCAGCCCUGCAUCCCGCCGCCCAGGUUGGCAGGCUCCCCAGGCUGCAGUGGGCACUGCCAGCUCGAGAACACUCCAGAUGGCCGGUCUGCCUGCACCGGAGGGUGGGGACGUCAGCGGCGGAACCGGGGGUACCCCACCAGAGCAGGCUGGCCUCGAGGCAAAGCGACAGCCUUCGGUCUGUGCGUGAGUGAGGGGAAGGCAAAUAGAGGUAUAAAUAGUGCCGGGGGG
rnacentral:lncRNA from 1 species